GCACCUGAUGGAAUUCGGUGACGUCACGAGCACGUACAGAGACGUGGACGGCCGUGACCUUGUUUUGAUCAGCUGUACGGUAACUUAGCGAUAAGAAAAUAGACUAUUGGUUAAAUAAAUUUAAAUUUAAGUGUGUUUUAGAAGAAGAGGAACUUUCAGUAUAUUCCUUAAGAUUAGCUGAGCAGCAGUCCAGUUUACAAGAUGACAAGAGUUCGAGAGACAAGAUACAAGAUCACUGAAACAAGAGCCAAGACUGAAGAUUCAAGAGAAGAGAAAGCUGGCAGCCAUGGACUUACAAGUGGAGAUUAAUAAGGUCAUGUAAAGUUUUAUUUUUUUUUUAUGGAAGACAGUAACUGGAGUUUUUUUUUGUUAUAAACAUUAUUUACAGAACUUUUUAGGUUAUAGUAAUGUAAUGGAACUAGUGAGUUGUGGUAGCUGUCAAAAAGAACUAAUACCUUAAGUUUAAUUUUUAAAGUUAAUUUUCUUAAUUUACAGAGGGAUUAGUAGUUUUUUUUUAAAACCUUAUUUAGGUUGGAAUUUAAAUACAAUAGCUUAUUAUAAAUGUGUACGAACAGUUCAAGUUCACAGUACUGAUAGGUAGGUCAGAUGAUCUUAUUGAUUUUGAUGAUUUGUUGUUUUGAGUUGAUUUUUAAGUGUUGUGAAUUAGACAAUGAAAUAGUUCUGAAAACUUAAAUUAUUUCAAGCUAAGAAAUAGUAAAGUUAAUUGUAACUCAAAGGACACCAGAAUUUAAUUUUUUUUUGAAUUAGUAAUGUUUGAAAAUUUUAUACUUUACAAGAAAGGUUAUAAACAAACAGAUCGGAUGGAACAAGGAUGCAGUAAAUCACAAUUUCAUUUAGAAUUAUUGAUUAGCUUUUGAGGUUAUGAAGUAAAAGUAAUUAUAGUUUAAAAGUUUGAAUAAAAAAAAAUGUUUUUUUUUAUUUGUUUCAAAUAGAAAGUUUAAAAGUUAAUUAGUCAUGAUCUAGGUGGGUGAUGGGGUGGGAAUUGGCCACUCUUUUUCCCUAUAACCUCCCUAACAUGGCCUUCUAUUACAACUAACAGAAAUAAAGAAGAAGAAAAAUGAAGAAUUAUUAGUUAGAAUGUUUCUUUCAUGAAGAUACCUGAUGAACUUUUACUGUUUGGAAGAAUAGAAGCAAGGUUAGUCAGAUAUUUUUACUCAGAAGAAGAAGAAGAUAAAGCAGUUUUAUGACUCGACAAGCCAGAGAUUGGUGUUUCCCCUCUGCGCUUCUAUUGACUACGUUGUUUACUCUCAUGGGAUAGCUGGUUCGGCACCAUGGAGAGAGAUUGGUGGGCAUUGUGGUUGCCCCCAGAAGAAAAGAAGAGUAGAAGAGGUUAUGGGUGGGUCAUGUGAACUGACCUUCAACCCAGUUACUUCGUGGGGACUAUUUGCUGUAUAGAGAAGAUCAAGACUCAAGAGUUAGGGAAAAUCAUUGGAGGUCAUGUUUCCCUUCCUUAAGUUUUUCCUAUCAAAUUAUUUGCCUGAUUAGAUUAUGCUAAGGGUGGGAUACUUUAUGUUAGCAGUUGAAUUAAUUAAUUUUAUUUUUUUGUGUGUUUGCAUCCUUGCCCAUCGAUUGCAGUUUAGUAGUUAGUUUUGUAUUUGUCAGGCGUGAUGGUAAUGCCUGUUGAUGAUGUUUCAGAAUUGUAAUCUGUUCGUGAUGAGGAUGGCACAACUCCGAAGCAGAUGUGGGGAGAAGUUGUGAGCUGCCCUGGAAGCCAGUCCAGUAGCUGUUGGAGUUGAGUGGUGUUUGCUGAUGGCCAGCCCAGGGAGCUACUCUUCUCGACAACACUGACUUCGAGGAGUUGCACCAACCUUCACGAGAUAAGAGUUUAAUUAAUUGAAACACUGUAAGGACACUUAAUUUUUUUUGAAGAACGAAAGAAGUAUGGUAAUAAACGGAAACUGAAAAAAAAAA